rnacentral:rRNA from 1 species
GAUGAACGCUGGCGGCGUGCCUAACACAUGCAAGUCGAGCGAGAAUUUACAAAAUGAAGCUUCGGCAGNUUUUAGUAAGGAAGGCGGCGGACGGGUGAGUAACGCGUGAGUAACCUGCCUUAGGUGGGGGAUAACACAUCGAAAGGUGUGCUAAUACCGCAUAACAUAUGUUUACCGCAUGAUAGACAUAUCAAAGAUUUAUUGCCUAAGGAUGGACUCGCGUCUGAUUAGAUAGUUGGUGAGGUAACGGCUCACCAAGUCGACGAUCAGUAGCCGAACUGAGAGGUUGAUCGGCCACAUUGGGACUGAGACACGGCCCAGACUCCUACGGGAGGCAGCAGUGGGGAAUAUUGCGCAAUGGGGGAAACCCUGACGCAGCAACGCCGCGUGAAGGAUGAAGGUCUUCGGAUUGUAAACUUUUGUCUUAUGGGACGAAAAGGACGGUACCAUAGGAGGAAGCCACGGCUAACUACGUG